UAAAAAUAUAACCAACUGCACAAUAACAGAGCUCAGGAUUAAAUUUGAUGUAACGUUGUUCUGCAUUAGUCAAUGAAAUACAAAAAAACUAUACUUUUGUCAACAUGCUUUUCAAAUAUAAAAUACAUAGAAAAAAAACAAAAACCUAUUAGCCUGCUACUAACCAACAUUUUAUUUUCAUGUAGCUGACUUCAAAUGUGCUUUGUCACAUUUUCUAGUUUGUGUAGGUAAUAAGUAAAGUGGCCAAUGUUUUUAAACAGUUAAAUAUUAAUUACACAUUUAUUAGCACUGAAUUACAAGAGCUAAUGUAAUGUUGAAAAAACAAAAAAAAACCCAUGAAUGGUAGGUUCUGCCAUUGCAUGAUUUACCAUUAUGAAGCUAGACAUUUCUAUGCUUAUAAGUGACGAAAGAAAGAAAAAAGUAGUCUUUACUUCAAGGAAAUAUAAACAAGUUCACCAAACUGGGGACUUCCAGCUUCUCCCCCUGAAAGAAGCUCAGUGAUAUCUAUGAGGACGUGAUUCACAAAGCAUUAACAAACUCCUAUUUGUAUCAAUUAACCUAGCAUGACUACAAAUCAAAGACAAAAACAUCAGAAAGUUAUUAUAGUACUAAGUUCAUUUUUAAUCAGCUCUCAAGUUGCAAAGUCAAUCUAUAACAAACGCUUCGGCUAGAUAAAAUGCAAACAACUGACAAAGAUACUCAUCAAUACAUACACGUUCAGUUCCGGCUUAUUACACUCUCAAAACCUUUUUGCUUUUUUUUUUUGUUUGUUCCUUUUUACAUUUUAUAACUGUUACAAACAAAACUAGCAUCGUGUCAAAGGCAACACAAGUAAAAUCAUGACAAAAGAAAAUGAUUCACAAAAAAAAAAUUCUCAAAGUUUUGGUCAAAUGUUCAGGCAGGUUUGGUUAUUUCACCAUAAAAUCUUGAUUUUGGUCUGAUAGUCAACACCACGGCAGGGCAUUCCUGUCCAGAAGAUUCAAUGACUGGACUGACUUUGGGUUUUGUUUUGUUUGUUGUUGUGAGGAACAAGGUUUUCCUGAAAUGGAAGCAGCAUUGAGUAUUGCAUAAGAAUAACACAACUAUUUUCCUAAGUCAAAGAGUUAUCACAUUAUAUUUUUUGCUUUUUGUGAUUACUACUGACUCAGAACAGGACCUACUUUGCGCCACAGUCACAUAGGGGUUGCAUUUAAAACUAACUUUGUGACAAAUAUAUUGUCUGUUUAUGAGAACAAUACAGGAAAUUGUGUAAUUGUUCUUUUUGUAUGCUUUUCUUCACUCAUGUAGGCAAUUUGCCAAAAAAGACAAUGCACAACAGACAAGGUUAAAGAUCACUGGGCGCAUUAUGGUCUUUAGAUAUAACAAUAUGUGACACAGCACACGAAACAGCCAAGCAAUCAGGAACAGCAAGACUUUCCAUUAUUUCACGUUUGCUAUCUUAACUUGACUGUCUGCAACUAUCUCUGAAAACUAUGUUGGGGGAAAAAGUCAUUUACUGAACAAUUUCUGAUGAAUAAGCAGCAAGUAAACAAUGCUUUGCUGAAACUUUGCUGAAAAUCCUCGUCCAGCAGACCCCUGCUCAUUUUAGCCCCACACACUUUGGGUAUGUAACCUAACCCAGGGAGUGAAUGAAAUGUGCCACCUUAAUGAUGCUGACAGCUUUUCUGUACCUGGCCUGUGGUGACACUGCUCUGCCGAGUGUGGUGAGAACAGUUUCUUGUGAACCUAGUGGAGUUUUUGAAUUCAGGUUAAUGAUUUCCGAAAGAGUAUAUAUCCAUCAAAGUCAUACAAACUACAUGAAAAGAUUGAUACAUGAAAUAUAUUUUCAAACAUCAACUUGGAGGAACAUUUUAAACUUUAGCUGGAUUAUGCUGCAUCACACACUGUUAUAAUUUAUCAAGCUUUGGAGCACUUCUGAAAGGUUUUUUUUUCAUGGGGAAAGAGAUUUGUUUAAAAAAAAAAACAAAAGGCAGAAAAUGUAAACUUAGUAGAAUAAGUACAGUCAAGACAGUCACAUUCCCACAGGCAAAAUUCAGAGAAGUGUAUAUAAUAGGCCAAUCACGUCUGCUUCCACAAGAUAAAAAUGCAUAUAUGUAAGUUUAAUUCGUGAGCAAUUUAUCAAGGAAACUAAAAUAUUAACAUAAAUGUGCAAUGAUAAAUGUAUUUGCAACUUCCUCCUCCAGACAGAAACACCACACCGUGGUUGGUAUCAGAUACCUUUAUAAUGCAUUUUAGCUGACUAUAAGACGCAGUGGCCAUCUGUAUCAAGUCGCAGCUGACAUGUCGGGAAAAAAAAGAAAAGAAGCAAAACAAAAGCAAACAAAGCCAAAAAAACAAAACAAAAAAAAAACCAAACAAACAAAAAAAAAAAAAACUGGAUAAAACCAACAAAUGUUUUGCAGCUCCUGCAUCAGAAACACUGAACAGGUCAAUCCGUUCUCAUACUGUCAAACAUGCUGACAGUGCAACAAACACACAGGCAUCGAUACACACAUUGAAAACUGAACGAACGAGUACAAACCGCAGGCAUCAGAGAGAAUUCACACACAGGAGAUCCAAAAAUAAAAGCUCUUAGAGGUACUUAGAUUGAUUUGUUGUUUUGAUAAAUCUGACAUACACAAAAAAACCCAAAACAUCUGACUUCUGUUCUCUUUUGCCUCUGAUUUAUAAUCUAUAAUCAAUAAUGCAUUAAAAUAUUCAGUAGCUCACAAACUUUACAGAGGAUCAGACAGAAGAGUUAUUAUAACAGGCACAACAUGACCGCAAACAGUGUAAACUUUCAAAGUGAAUUUAAAAACAACACUUAAGACACGAUAGGUUCAUGGAGAAAAUGACGGUCAAAAACAGCAAGAGAUGGACGGAAGAUUUAAAAAAAAGAAAAAAAGAAAAGGGAGGGGGUGGGACUGAAAUGAAGACACGAUGAGUAAUAUUGGAAGAAGGGUUCAGGUAAAAACCGACAAUUUGUCCUAGAAGAUUGUGACAAUUAAAGGCAUUGGUUGAGGAAAAUUCUUGCCCAUUUGGAGAUGUGUUCAGAUCUCAGAUACAAAGACUUUUAGUGUCAAUCUGUUUGACCCGAGCUGCGAUUGCGAUUGUAAAGUUAAUCAAUAUUGAAGCAAUUUCCCUAACUUUAUUAGUCCUAAUAAGUUGCAUGUCAUCUAGUUAAAGUAGUUAAGCAACUGCAUGUCAUGUUUUGCCUCAUAAUUCAUUUUCAUCAAUUUCUUUCAACGAAAACUUGACAUGACUAUGUUAAAAACUGACACUCACAGAGAACUCACAAUUAUGCAGCAUGGUACGGAGCUUUUUAGCCUCUUUCAGCUUUAGUUUUGGUUUUACGGCACAUUUACUACCCGGUUUGGUCUUGCUGCUCUGGCCAGCCCAAACAAUUUCACCAAACGGCAGACAGGCAAAAAACAAAGACACAAACAUUAAACAGCCACAAAUCCAGUUUAAUUUAUGG
ensembl:lncRNA